UGACAAUUCAAAAAUGUAAUCAGAAUAAUUAAAGGACAAAUUUAUGAUCAUAUAACAUAAACAACCAUCUCACAUUCUUUUCCAACAUGAUUUUACAACAUGCAUGGGAUGUAUGAAAUGAAAAAUAGUUCUCCAAUAAUAGGUCCAUGCCAGAAAAUUGUGCUAAUCAAAAGCACAGCUGUAUUAAUGGGUUUUGCACUUCCAUGAUAAGAGAAGUACACAUGAGGAUAGGUUUUAUAAGAAAAUAGAAAAAGUUGUAUAACUCAACCAAGGUGCAAUGUUAAAAUGUGCAGGCGCCAUGGAGGCCUUCAUGUUUAUAUGGGCCUAACUUCUGUGUCUUAGACUGCAAGUACUCCUUGAAACAAUUAGCAACCCUUGGAACAGUAAACAUUCCUUGAGAGGCAGGAUGGCAAUUCUGUGGCUUUCCUUAUAGCAGGGCAAAGAAACACCAGCACAAACAUAAUCCGGGAUGAUUAUUUUAUAUAUCUUUAUAAAUGACAUUACAAACUAAGGGCUCUUAAGAAUUUGGGUCCAAGAUGGGUAUGAAUGUAUCCAUGCCCAAAUCCUAUUUUUUCUCAGCAGUUCUCAAAGCCUGCAGGAUCCAUUUACAAGUAUGAAACCAUUUCCUCAUGCCACAUCCUUUCACACACCCAUUCAUUGAAUAGGUUUUAGGACUGGCAAACCAGAUGACAACUUACAAUUGCAAUACCUCAUAGUCUGAUUGUGCAAAACAAUUAAAUAAUGACCCAAAAAGAAGGAAUGAGAGAGGGAAACCUCUUAUGCCAUUACAAGUUUUAAGUAGGGAAAGACUAGAUGUUCAGUAAAAUGAGGAAGCAGGAAACAACAAUGGUAAGAGAGGAGAUGAAGGUUUUCCUUUCCUUUUUUAAGUGGAUGGCAUCAAAAAGCCAAGAAAAGGUAUUCCACUCUGAUUUCAGCAUAAAUUUAUCACGUUUCUUAUAUUAAAAUAAGAGUUAUGUAAACAAGGGUAAUAAAAAAACAUAAAAAGGUUAAACAUGAACUCAUUUCAACAGAACAGUUAUGCCACAUUCUCCAUGAAUUUCUAAUCUAUCAGACAAAUAUGAGGAGAUGCAAAAAACAAAAAAAAAAAACAAAAAAAAUGCACUGGAACCAUGUCACAGAACCCAACUGCAUAACACCUUAUCCAAAUUAUAGACCAGCUUGGCUACCCUCACAGCCUCAACCUGCAUUUUUCAGACUUAACAACUUCACAUUAUACUUGAGCCUUCAACUUAAUCCAUUGCCAGACCAUCUCCAAGCACUCUCUCUCAUUUUAUGAUCAAUCAGCCACCUCCUAGCUUCUCACAAAUGUACCCAUUCCCAAUUGACUUCUUUUUAAUUUUCAAAACCAAAAUUCAAAAUAAACCUAUUGCAAAUGUAUUAUAUUAAUGAGACAGUAGAGCUAGUUUCCAUUUAGAAUUAAGUUCUAUACAAAGAAUUACAAUGCAUGAAAAAAAAAAAGACAAAGGAAAAAAUUAAUAAUAAGGGAAAAAAAAACCCUGGCAUUUAUGAAAAGAAAUUACAGUUCAUAAAAAGAUUAAAAUGAGAUAGAAAUUGAAGGCAUCCUUUGGUUAACAUUUCCAUGAAUACUCUUAUAUUUUUCAAACGCUAUAAUCCAAGUACUAACCAGAUAGUGCCUGAAUUGUAGAAUAGGAAUUCAAACGAGCACCCAUCUAGAUCACAAUUAGGUAGAUGAAAAACCAGAAUAAUGGGCCACAAAAGAGUAAACAAAUGAAACCUUUAGAUAUGUUUUUUGAAUGGAAAACCAAAUAAUAAAUCACAGCAAAAUCAAUACAGAUCUCCUCACAUUCAGAAACCAAAAUUAUCAAUAAUCUACUAGUCUCGGAUCCAAUUAGCCAAUAAGAAACAAUGCAGCAAAGAAAACCUUGUCAGAUCACACUCACAACUAGUCCACAGAAAACUAGGAACUAAAGUGAGGAAAGCAUUAAUGUACUCACGUAUUUUUUGCGGCCAUAGCCCUCUUCACCAUAACCGUACUUGCGAGGCUCAUCAUCAUCAUCGCGCCUCUCAUAAGCCGGCUUCUCGUAGCCCUCCUCUUCUUGCCCCUCAUUACUUGGCCUCCCAUAACUAGGCCUCCUCGGUGGCUCCUCCACCUCCGGACUCUCGUAGCUCGGCCUCCCAUACUGUGGCUUCCUGGGGGACCCUUCCCCACCAUAACCAUACCCGCCACCUUGUUCCUCUCCGAAGCUAGGUUUCCGACCGUACCCAGAUCCAUAUUCAGAACUCGGUGCUUCGUACUCAGGCCUCCGACCAUACCCAGAUCCAUACUCCGAACUGGGCUGCUCGAACUCGGGCCUCCGACCAUACCCAGAUCCAUACUCCGAACUAGGUUGCUCGUAUUCAGGCUUCCGACCGUACCCAGAUCCAUAUUCCGUGCUAGGCUGUUCGUAUUCAGGCUUCCGACCGUACCCAGAUCCAUAUUCCGAGCUAGGCUGUUCGUAUUCAGGCUUCCGACCGUACCCAGAUCCAUAUUCCGAGCUAGGCUGUUCGUAUUCAGGCUUCCGACCGUAGCCAGAUCCAUAUUCCGAGCUAGGCUGUUCGCAUUCAGGCUUCCGACCGUACCCGGAUCCGUACUCCGAACUGGGUUCCUCGUAAUCAGGCUUCCGCCCAUGCCCAGAUCCAUACUCACCCUCCCCACCAAAACUCGACGGCGGCUUCGGCUGAUACCCAUACUCACCACCAUCACCACUGCCUCCGAACCCUCCUUGGCCAGGAGGUGGUCCGGCGUAACCAAGGACCGGACGAGGCUUGGGACGAGCAUAGCUCUUGUAUUCAUUCUCAAGAGCUUCAUCACCGUAAGCCGAUGGUUCAGAGCAUGAUGUGUAGCUUGGGCGAUCGUAGUCUAUAUCACCGGACUUCGAGGAGAUCGGAUAGCAAGUCUCCUCCGACGGCUCCAAAGGGCGGCCAUAGAUGACCGUGAUGUCGUAGCCUCCACCAUACGGGGUCGGAUCGUACUCAUCG
rnacentral:lncRNA from 1 species